AUGGACGACACGAACAUGUUCAUUCAGUGGGCCAUGGAGACGCUGGAGCAGGAGCAGGACGUCGCGGCCGCCGGAGACGUCUUCCCGUCGUCACUCCUAGAGCUCGACUACUCGGCGGCGCUGCAGAACGGCACGCACAUGGCGGCCCACCGACACGGAGCCAACGACAGCUGGAGCUCGGGCGACAGUGGCGCCGCGGUGGCCGUGGAGAACGACGGCUGGUCGUCCAACUGCGGCACCAACUACCCGGCCGCGAGCUGGAACUUCACCUCGGCCAGAGCGCAGCCGCCCAGCAUUAUCGAGGCCACCCCGAGCCCACCCGCAGCUCCCGGCCACGUCGUGCCGGAGCUGGCGCACAGGUCGCCACCGUCGAGGAAAUUCUCAGGCACCAGUACAGGGAUGGAGCCGACCGUGCACGAACACGUCAUGGCGGAGCGGAAGCGCCGGGAGAAGAUCAACCGACGCUUCAUAGAGCUCUCCACCGUCAUCCCCGGCCUCAAGAGGAUGGACAAGGCGACCAUACUGUCCGACGCACUGAGGUGCGUCAAGGAGCAGCAGGAGAAGCUCAAGGCAUUCGAGGGCCGUGAGGUGAGGAGCAUCGACUCGGUGGUGCUAGUGAAGAGGCCGUGCAUCUCCAAUGGCGAUGAUGGCUACCCGUCACCGGCGUCGUCAGCAGCAGCUGGAGGAGGUCCACCGAUGACAAGGAUCCCGUUGCCGGAGAUCGAGGCAAGGAUCUCGGAGAGCAAUGUGAUGAUGAGGAUCCACUGCCAGGACGGCAAAGGGGUCCUUGUCACGUUGCUCGCCGAGGUCGAGGGGCUCCACCUUAGCAUCACACAUACCAAUGUCGUGUCUUUCCCGGCUUCCACUCUGAUCAUAAACCUCAUGGCCAAGGCAGACGAGGGCUUCACCGUCACAGCAGACGACAUUGUAUGGAAGCUUGACUGUGCUUUGCGCCGACAUCAUAGCAGCAAAUGA
rnacentral:rRNA from 1 species